UGAAAAGGAUCAAGAAUCCAGCCCAGUGUAAUCUACUAAUAAGAAAUGGCUGCUAUCAGAAGCACUAAGCAUAAUCUAUGUGAAGGAAGACUAGGUCCUGGGACUGUCUGUCUAGACAAUAUUAUCAAGGCCUCGAAGAAGAAGAAAACCAUGGCAGAAUGCCUAUAACCAUCUGGAUGAGAGUAUGUGACACGAUGGUAAAUAAAUCAGUGUAACAAAACAUGAGGAAUCUGUGCUUCUUGAAUGUACAUCACUCAUGCUUUUGUGCCUGUGGGUUCCUCCUGGACAAUACUAAAUAAAUAAAUAGAAUGCAAAGUUUAAGUAAAAGAUUAAACUGGAAGGGUUGGCAGUAGGAGGGCUUUAUCUGCCUCAGUCUUUUCUUUUGUUUUUCUUAAUUUCAAGGAUCUGAUAUUUUGUAAGGGAAAUAAAUGAUAAUUACACAGAGGAAUGACAGAUUAGCCUAGUUUACAUGACAACAGUUAAAGUGUAGAAAGCCCACAAUAACGUACUGGGUUUGAUACACUCAGCAGAAAUUUGAUUGGUUAAAAAAUAUAUUAAAAAAUCAAUGAACUAGAGUGGUAGAAUGAAAUGCAGUGAUCUCGUCUCUGCAGUGGUGUCUCAUGAUUAUCGCAGAUUUGUAAACUGAGAAACUGAGACUUGAAAAAGUGAGGCCACUUGACUAGUUUAUGCUUCUAGCUACAAUAAUAACACCAGGUAUAAGACUCAAAUGGAAGAUUCCUGAACUAUGAUUUUACCUGAACUCUCAUCAGUAUUUUUCAAUGGACAUGUAGAAAUCUUAUUUUGUAAAUAGGUGAGCAAAGUUCAAAUCCUAUCUGUGCGUGACCAUUUCCUUGAGAGAAAUGAACAUCAUUUUGUAAAAGAGUGGCCAAAUUACUAAAUUACAGGAUAUUCUGGUUUGUGGAAUUUCUGUUAUUGAAGUUGCUCCACUCUUUUUAAAUAAUUGAAUUCACUGGGAAGAUCUUCUAAUCAGUAUUUUUGUUCAAUGAAAUUUCUGUUCCCAUAAGAAAAGUUUAGAGAAAGUUCAUAUCAUUUUCUUUUUGACACAAUUACAGUAAAUUUCAAACAUGAACUUUUGGUUCCGUGUCUUCUUCAGACCAAACAAUCUGGAUAUUUGAAUCUGAAACUCUUAUUUUCAAGGUGCAUACAAAAAUGCUGCUUUUUAGAAAGGAUAGUGUUCUUACACUGUCUCGGUAUAGAAACUGUUAAUAACAUCAGAGAAGAAUGACUUCUAAUUUUUUGUUUUAUACAGGAAAGGCAGACGGGCUUUCUUGCUAAAAUUAGAAAAUGUCAAACACCACAAACUCAAAAAUUAUUUCAGAAUAAAG